UACGUAGGUGGCAAGCGUUGUCCGGAUUUACUGGGCGUAAAGGGCGCGUAGGCGGCCUCUGCAAGUCGACUGUGAAAUCUCCGGGCUUAACCCGGAAAGGUCAGCCGAUACUGCAGGGCUAGAGUGCAGAAGGGGCAACUGGAAUUCUCGGUGUAGCGGUGAAAUGCGUAGAUAUUACAAGGAACACCAAUGGCGAAGGCAGCUUGCUGGGCCGACCCUGACACUGGAGGUACGAAAGCGUGGGGAGCGAACAGG
rnacentral:rRNA from 1 species